ensembl:lncRNA
CACAGUCUGUGUCCUCUGCUACCUCUUCAUCGCCACUAAGCCCAGUCGCCUUGACAACGGCCUGCCACUACGACCACCAGGGUUGGACCCCCGCGAGGGCCCCAGCCACUCCGGCCCAGCACCGUCCAUCGGCCCUCAGGGCUUCAGGAAGCACUUCUUCAGCAGGAAGCUGGACUGUGACAACCAGCCACCCGACCCUGAGAGAUUGUUCCAGAGGUGCUUCGUCACCACCGUCAACAUGGAGGGCCCAUCGUAGUGCUCUUAAUAUGGAGGGCACUUUGUAGGAUGCUUAGGAGGUAAUGUUUGUCAAUGUUCAAACAGUAGUUGGCUGGUUAACCCACUCUAGAAACAUUUCAGUUGAGCUUCUUUUUUUUCUGUUGAUGAAAAUAAACUUAAAAAACAGAAAGACAGAAGUCACACUGGACAACUGUGGAGCCGAAGCAUAUUGUCUGUCUUGCCUCACCUCUGUAUUCCAAUGUUGUUUGAUGAAGCAAGAGAAAGGACAGAGGGAAAUAUUUUCAUUCAUUAUUUUGUGUUGAGAAAUCCAUUUUAACUGUCUGAUUUAACAGAAGCUCGUGUGUCUUCAAGACAGACACUCUCAGAUAACAAGCUCCUCAAACCAGCAUUUACUGAACUUCAACGUUGACAGUUUGUGUGAUUCUUCACCUUCUUGUUUUCAAUCGUCUACGUGUCUGUGUGUGAAAUGUUUAUUUGGUUGAGAAUGUUGCCAAUGGGACAACAAGUGCCUACAACAUUUUGCAUCCAAUAGAACUGAUAAGGAAGUAAAUCAGACAUAGUACAACACAUAACAAACAGAAAGCCUCAGACUUCCAGUUAUCUUAACUUGGCCCCUGUUUUCAAAACGUUGAAGGUGGAAUCCAUAACGGUAAAACUGCCACGUCCUUUUGCGAUAUUACAACAACAAAUAAGUCACUCCCUCUGACAUCAUCAUUCCACGCGCGCGAUAGACCAACAGCGUACGUACUGUAAUUAUUUAUUUUCACGAUGCUGGACACUCCACAACUCGGUUUCAUCAGCAAAAACAAUAACAAAUGUGCUGGCGCGCACAGUGGCGUCGUUUGCCCUUAUGUGGAUUUCAACUUUAAAAAGGUCAUGUCUGCUAUAAUAUAAAAUACAUGAAAUUGCUUGUUGAAACAUUGCAUGUUGAACUGUCAUGUUGAAUUUUCUCAAAAUUCAGCAUUGAUCAUGGCAGAGAUUAUAGAAUGUUAUGUUCCACCGCUGUCCAUGCUGCUGUCCCCAUGUUCAGAAACACUUUAAUUCAUGUGGUCAAAGUCAUUGUGUUGCCAAUUUGCCAUAUACAAUGGCUGAAUGCCAUGAGGCAUCAGUUGUGUGAGUCACUUCUUUGUUAGUCAUGCUUCAAAUAGAGAGUAACUUGUCAAAGAGGAAAGAUGUUGCACCUUUAUGGUGUGUUAUCACAGCAGGCACCAAGUUUGAUGUUUUCUCAAUAUAUUAAAGUGUGUGGCUGAGUGCACAACACAUUCAAAUGUACUUACAAAAAUAAAUGCAUGUGACCUUUCAAUAUUCAAAGUGCUUUAUAAAAACAAACUAUUUCUUUAUAUACACAUUUGAAAAAAAGUGUGAGAAG